rnacentral:rRNA from 1 species
UACGUAGGGUGCAAGCGUUGUCCGGAAUUAUUGGGCGUAAAGAGCUUGUAGGCGGUUUGUCGCGUCUGCUGUGAAAUUUCGGGGCUCAACCCCGAACUUGCAGUGGGUACGGGCAGACUAGAGUGUGGUAGGGGGAGACUGGAAUUCCUGGUGUAGCGGUGAAAUGCGCAGAUAUCAGGAGGAACACCGAUGGCGAAGGCAGGUCUCUGGGCCAUAACUGACGCUGAGAAGCGAAAAGCAUGGGGGAGCGAACAGGG